AAGUCGUAACAAGGUCUCCGUAGGUGAACCUGCGGAGGGAUCAUUAACACAUCCACAAAAAUGUAAGCCGUAAAAAAGCUUAUAUUUUUAUCAACCAAAACGCGAACUUGGAAUGUGCACAAUGUGUACAUUCUGAUCUCUCCCUAUAAAUUGUAUGUAAUUUUAUUAUAUACCUUUUAUAGGCUUUUCUAUUAUGCAUAUAAUGCACUCACGUGCUUAUAUGUAUAAUAUGAUACACACCUAUUUCACCGCACUUAUAACCAAUUGACUAAUAAUCAUUUAUAUAGUAACCUAUGUAAAUGAGCGAUAUCAUACAAAUGUUAAGCACAACUCUUAGCAACGGAUAUCUUGGUUCUC
rnacentral:misc_RNA from 1 species